AAAUCCUUUGGCUUUAUUGACCGUGAGGGUUCAAGUCCCUCUACCCCCA
rnacentral:tRNA from 2 species